UAGGUAUAACAGUCAUCUCUUUGUUUUUGAGACUGAGUCUCGUCUUGUUGCCUAGGCUGGAGUGCAGUGGUGUGAUCUUGGCUCAUUGCAACCUUCUCCUCCUGGGUUCAAGUGAUUCUCCUGCCUCAGCCUCCUGAGUAGCUGGGAUUACAGGAUGUCCUUGAGAACAUGGAAACAGAAGAUACAUCAUGUAAAAGUCAAUUCGUUACAUUAGACCUCCUUGCUCAACCUGUUUUGGGAGACUCCACUAUGCCGAUGGGGGGCCUGAGCCCCCAGAGGCUGUGCACGGUCCCACAUUCAGCAUUUCCAACUGUAUAUGUGUGACCACAGUGUCAUCUUUGAAGGUUCUAUGGAGCAGAACACUUGGUUUCAGGUGUGGUGGUAAAGGCUUAACAACUGGCUCUGGGGGUGGGCGUGUGUGGUGUACAGGAGCUUGAUUUUCAGCAUUUGCCAAUUUCCACGGUGUCAAUACUCCCGCCACGGCCAACUCCAAGCCACCCAUGUGAUGUUACGGAAUGCAGAAUUGGGAAGAGAUACUCAUGAUCAGCUGGUGGGAGCUGGCAAAACCACCUCCAGCACAUCACUGCCCACGGGACCUCUGCUCCCUGAGGGCUGGGUGGUAAUGGCACUCGCUGUACGCCCAACACAGGUCAGAGCUGUAACUGUUCCUUCCAGAAACUGUUUCCGCGCAUGCAUCAGUAUAUAUAAAUGGGUAAAUGAUA